rnacentral:rRNA from 1 species
UACAGAGGGUGCAAGCGUUGUCCGGAUUGACUGGGCGUAAAGCGCACGCAGGCGGUCGCGCGCGUGGGGUGUGAAAUCUGGCCGCUUAACGGCCAGGCGCCAUCCCAUACGGCGCGACUGGAGUGAUGCAGAGGUCGGUGGAAUUGCCGGUGUAGUGGUGAAAUGCGUAGAGAUCGGCAGGAACACCCGUGGCGAAGGCGGCUCUCUGGGACGGUACUGACGCUGAGACG